rnacentral:rRNA from 1 species
AGUGAACGCUGGCGGUAGGCCUAACACAUGCAAGUCGAACGGCAGCACAGUAAGAGCUUGCUCUUACGGGUGGCGAGUGGCGGACGGGUGAGGAAUGCAUCGGAAUCUACUUUUUCGUGGGGGAUAACGUAGGGAAACUUACGCUAAUACCGCAUACGACCUACGGGUGAAAGCAGGGGAUCUUCGGACCUUGCGCGAUUGAAUGAGCCGAUGUCGGAUUAGCUAGUUGGCGGGGUAAAGGCCCACCAAGGCGACGAUCCGUAGCUGGUCUGAGAGGAUGAGCAGCCACACUGGAACUGAGACACGGUCCAGACUCCUACGGGAGGCAGCAGUGGGGAAUAUUGGACAAUGGGCGCAAGCCUGAUCCAGCCAUACCGCGUGGGUGAAGAAGGCCUUCGGGUUGUAAAGCCCUUUUGUUGGGAAAGAAAAGCAGCAGGUUAAUACCCCGCUGUUCUGACGGUACCCAAAGAAUAAGCACCGGCUAACUUCGUG